ensembl:lncRNA
CUAUUGUUGAAUUUGAUGGACUUCCGGAAAUUCCAGGAGAUUUGGGAAGUCUCGUGACCAGUGCAGAAUAAAAAAAGUUUCACUUCUGAUGUUGUAAUGUUGACUUUUUCCUUCACACAUCAGUGUCGGCUAUGACCAGACACAAGCAGACAACCUUGUUGGUUUCAUCCGACUGCUAAAGCCAUGGUCCUCAAACAGCUUACAAAACAUGUACAGUAUUUCAACGAGGAAAGGAAUCGACCAGAAGAGGGGUACAGAAGAAUUUACAAAGCAUUAGAUGUAUCAUGGAACACCAUGAAGGCCAUCAUCAACAAGUGGAGAAAAUGCAGCACUACAGUGACAUCACUAAGAACAGGACAUCCCUCAUAAAAUGAUGAAAGGACAUGAAGGAGGCUGCUAGGAGACCUACAUGAACAUUCAGUUAUCUUCAUGAAUAUCUGGCGAGUACUGGUCACUCCCUGCCUGUGACAACAAUCUCUCAUUAUCCACAUGUCUGGGCUAUGAGGUAGAGUGUCUAGAGUGAAGCACUUCCUCAUAAAAAAAAAUCACCUCAAACCAUGUGGCAAAAUGUAUCACAGACUGAUGAGACUAAGGUAGGCAUAUUUUAUACAAAAUCAAGAAGCUUAUCACCCAAAGAACACCAUACCCAUGGUGAACAUGGUGGUGGCAGCAUCAUGCUAUGGCGCUGCUUCUCUUCAGCUAGGACUGGGGCGCUAGAGGGACUCAUGGAUAUCUCCAAAUACCAGUUUAUUUCUGUUAGACAGCUGUCAGCUCUCAGUUGACCUUCCAGUACAUUAACGACCCAAGGCACAAAUCUGAGUUAACAAAGGAACGGCUUCAGAAGAAGAAGAUCUAGAUCCAGAUCUAAAUCCUGUAUAAAACCUGUAAUCUGUGUAAAGAAGAGUGGAAUAAAAUGACCAGAUAAAGAUGUUCUAAGUCAGUAGACUCUUACCCAAAAACCCAGAGUGCUGUGUUACAAACAAAAGCUGCUUUAACAAAGUCACAGCACAACAAUCUCAGCAGAUUCCCGUUUGACAUGACUGGUGAGUGUUUAUUACCCCCGCAUGGUGUCAAAUACGCAAAACUAAAUGAAGUGUAAUGGAAACUUGGCAGCUUUCCAGUGGCUUGGUUCAGUUCUGUUGACAUUCAUGCACCUCAGCCCCACACACUCACUGAGACAGAGAGAGAGAGAGAGAGAGAGAGAGAGAGAGAGAGAGAGAGAGACCUUUCAAAAGACUUUUAUUACCGUAAAAUUAACAAACAUUAACAAUUAUUCACAAACUUAGUGCAAAAAUAAGCUCAGUUCACAAUUGAACACAAGGCUUC